UACAACUGGCAACGCAAUCUGUUUAUCGUGCCCAUGGUGAUGUUGUUUUCGCUAGUUACACAAACAACUUAAAACAUAGUCCGUACACUUUAUUCCUCGCUUUAUUCCGUUGUUCAUAUCAUCCACUUCUGUUGCCGCAGUCGGAUAACUGGACACAAGAUUCAUCGAGAAUUCAAUGAAUGGAAUCAUUUUUAAAAAGUAACCAAUGAUGCACUUCGAUGUCGGGAAGCAGGAGCAAAACGAUGACGCGAUCGACAAUGCGGGAAAAUCCAAAUUCUUUUCAGGCUACAACUGCAUUUUAAACAUCUUGCAGAUAUCGAUAAAUUGAAGACUGUCCUUCAAACAGUGGUAGGAAGCGUUGGGCGAAAGUAAACGGUGAUUGUUGUUUUAAUAAAUAAUGUAUAUAAACUCAUUAAAAUACAUUCAUUGUGUUGUUUUCGUCACCGACAACCUCCAUAU